rnacentral:snRNA from 1 species
UUACGUGGGCCAUCUGGCUGGGACACCUGUCAUCCUCUUGAACUCCAGGUUUGAUGGGGCUGACACCUGGUUGGCAGCACGCUGUCCCCUUUCUCCUUUCUGCUACAUGUGUGUUGCUGCCCAAGUCGCCUACUCUGACGAAGAGGACGGUGUUUCCCUAGAGAGGAGGAUGGUUCUCUGGUCAAGGGCAUAGGAGCAAAGGUGCAGGGAAAACUGUUUUUAAAUCUUCAUAGAUCUAAAACUAUCUUCCUUCUUUGAUACUUGAGAAGAAAAAUCUGACUAUCCAGAAAAAUCUAGGUU